UCUCAUUGCCUAACCUAGCCUUCACAAG
rnacentral:misc_RNA from 1 species